UCACAAGCAAGAUAAUUCAAAAUCCAUAAAUAAACAAGCUACAGACAAAAUAAAAUUCAAUAUCCAUAAAGAUCCGACAAGCAAGAUGGAAUUCAAUAUCCCAGUUCAAAAUUAAUGAUUUAGUACACGAUUUGAGACAAAAAUAUUUGGCCAAGUGCUAAAGUGUGACUUUGCCAAGUCCAUCGGAGGCCUCUCUCUCUCACCCAAUCAUAAGCAGCUGAAUCACAUGCUUUCAACUUCUCCAUCUCCUUGUUAAAAUCCGCAAUUCUAGUCGCUGAUGCAGCUCUCCAAAGAGAGUCUUUCAAGUGCAGUCCAAAGAGAGUCUUUCAAGUGCAUUAUUUCUUGCAUUGAAGUAACAGGCCACUCAGAAUUACUCCUAAGGUGGUGUUGAUAUUUAUUUGCAAGAAAUUUGGAAGUGCAAUGGUGAGAACUUGGAGCUCUAAAACAUGAAUGCUCUUUAUUUAUUGACUUUACCUAAAAGGUUUUGUCAAUUUUAGAUAUAAAAGCAGCAUAAAUAAUCCAUCCACACUCACAAAUGGCAUAGGUCUCCCUUGCUUGUUUGAGUACCUUCUCACUGCCUCCCUAAAGUCUGAAGUUGUUUUAAAACACAAUCCCACCUCAAAUUCAAAAUCCGAAUCAUCUGCAUCAUCUCGAUAUACAUGAUACUUUGAAGUUCUGACUUUUGAAGAUGACUCACUUCCACUUAAAGACCGCCUAAAAUUUCCAGCAGCUUGAAUUCCAACAAUUUGCUUGCUCUUGUCAAGAACUCGUGAGGGCUCAUCUGUAGUGCCAACUCAUUCAAUCUCUUUAUCAAUAUUCUCAUCGAACAACUUAUCAUCAUAUUCAAAGUCACUGUCUUUGAAGCCAUCACUAAAUGUAGAAUCGUUGUCGUCGGUUUCUUCUUCACUACUUUCUUCAUUUUCUCCACUUUCACUAUCAGCUUCAACCAUAUCAAGUUCAUCAUGUUCUUGGUCAUUCCAAUUCUCAACAUCAUCCAUAUUCUGAAAAUCUGGUAUUUCCAAAUUGUUAUUAGCUUAUGUCUCUAUGUAACAUCACAAUAGACAAAAUAAAUAGAAUUACUAAUUAUUGUUUA
rnacentral:lncRNA from 1 species